GUAAUGCGUGACCAACCUGCCCCAUGCUCCAGAAUAGCUCUUGGAAACGGGUGGUAAUGCUGGAUGCUCCAACUUGACGCAUGUCUUGUUGGGAAAGUGUUUAGUGGCAUGGGAUGGGGUCGCGUCCUAUCAGCUUGUAGGCGGGGUAAUGGCCCACCUAGGCUUCGACGGGUAGCCGGCCUGAGAGGGCGGACGGCCACAUUGGGACUGAGAUACGGCCCAGACUCCUACGGGAGGCAGCAGAA
rnacentral:rRNA from 1 species